rnacentral:rRNA from 1 species
CCUACGGGGGGCAGCAGUGGGGAAUAUUGGACAAUGGGCGAAAGCCUGAUCCAGCCAUGCCGCGUGUGUGAAGAAGGUCUUCGGAUUGUAAAGCACUUUAAGUUGGGAGGAAGGGUUGUAGAUUAAUACUCUGCAAUUUUGACGUUACCGACAGAAUAAGCACCGGCUAACUCUGUGCCAGCAGCCGCGGUAAUACAGAGGGUGCAAGCGUUAAUCGGAAUUACUGGGCGUAAAGCGCGCGUAGGUGGUUUGUUAAGUUGGAUGUGAAAUCCCCGGGCUCAACCUGGGAACUGCAUUCAAAACUGACUGACUAGAGUAUGGUAGAGGGUGGUGGAAUUUCCUGUGUAGCGGUGAAAUGCGUAGAUAUAGGAAGGAACACCAGUGGCGAAGGCGACCACCUGGACUAAUACUGACACUGAGGUGCGAAAGCGUGGGGAGCGAACAGGAUUAGAUACCCGUGUAGUC